rnacentral:tRNA from 1 species
GCCGAGAUAGCCAAGCUGGUCAACGGCGGUGGACUCAAGAUCCACUCUUGUAGGAGUUCAUGGGUUCGAAUCCCAUUCUCGGCACCA